CUCAAGAAUUAUAUCAUUAGGUUUUGGUGAUUCAUGAUUAUUUCAAUAGUACUAGUGAUCAAUUGCUCAACAAAAAUGCAUAAAUACAGGAGAGGAGGGUUGAUGUUGGAUCGAUGAUGAACAGGGGUGCCUUAUGAGUCGUGGAUCAUGACUACAGGUCUGGGAGUCUGAGGUCCACAUCGUAAAAUAUCUACUUACCCCCUCGUCCCUGCCAGAAGAUAUGAGUGAUAGUCUACUUUAAUAAAUGGGCAAAAAUGUAAAUUAAAUUGUCAAGGUGCUUUCCAAUUAAAACAUAACCCCAUAGGAAGUGUAUAAAAUAUAUGCAAAAUACAGUACUUCCUUCAGUCAGCAUGAUUGAGGAAGCCACAUGAAGUAAAAUCAUAGGCAAUGCUAGCAGUAGGCUCAAAGCCUCGUGUAAUAUUUGUUUUCUCAUGAAGAAUGCAUCAUAAUGCCAUACAUAAUUAUAUGAGUGAUAAGAGACAGGUACAGCAAGUAAACAGUGCAUGGAUGAGUGAACAGCAUGUCAGUCUUUUCAUAUUCUCUUCUGCUUUGUACUCUCAGGAUGGAUUUCCCCCUAAAGACGAUUUACACCUCCUUUGGUUGUGAUCUUCAUGGUCAGCUCUUUGGGUUCAUAAUAUAGACACAGUGCGAGUACAUUCAGUCUUCUCAUGCUGAACAGUUACCCCGAAGCUGAUUUUAGACAUUCUUCCUUGGUCACCAGCUUCUUGAUCUGCUGUUUGUGUUCGUAGCAUAGAUACAGUGAUGGAUUUCCACCCAAAGAUGAUUAACACCUUCUCCUUUCAUUAUGAUCUUCAUGGUCAGCUCUUUGGGUUCGUAAUGUAGACACAGUAAUGGAUAUCAUUAAGCUGAUUUUACAGUCUCCCUCGGUCAUGAGUUUUGUGAUCAACUCUUUUGAUUCGUAAUAUUGUCACAGUAGAUGAAUACCCUCAAGCUGAUUUCCACAUGCUUCCUUCGUUAUGAGGCUCAUGAUCUGCUCUCUGUACAUAUAAUAGAUGCUGUAAUAAAUGCCUUCAUCACUGGUCACCGGGUUCAUGCAUCAUAGGGACCCACCAUAGAUGCUUUCUGACUGAUGUUCACAUGCUGGUCACCAAGUCCACAGUUACCCUGCAUGUCACGAAGACAGAAACCAAUAAAGACCAACUCCAGAACAAUGAGUGGAUUCUGCCUGGUCCUCACCUCCAAGGUUGCCUGUGUUUUUAGGGUCACAGCUACAAUCGGAUCAGGGAACCCUAUGGAAGAGGAGAUGCAAAGAUUGUAAGGACCAAUGAGAAUGGAGGACACCAAGGAAACGAGACCUUCUAGAUACAGCAGGACUGAUGCAGAUCUGAACUCAUAGAGACGGUGGCAGCGUGCAUGGGGCCUACACAGGUCUAAGCCAGAUGGGGUCCCAGCGCUGAGAGGGGAAGUGGACACAAGCCCCCAUCCAUAACUCAGAAGCUAUCUCCAAUCGAUAGACUCUCUCAGAGGAAAAACUCUUUUUCUCCAAUGGAAUGUCCCUGGAUACAUAGACUACCCCUAAGAGCAGGCUCCAUGCGCAAGUGGCCAACACAAAAUGAACUCAAUGGCAUUUUUGGAAGAUCUUGUGACACAUAAUGCUUUGUCUGGGUAUUUUUUCUUACCCUACAGACAUUUUGCUUAUAUAUUGUGGUUUCUGAUUUUAGUUUUUAUGAGUUUUCUAUGUCUGUGAAUGUAUGUGUCUCAGAGCCUGCAUUUGUUUCUGGUGAUUUUACGUAGGCUCUUUUUUUUGCCUGUUGUUUUUGCUUUGCCUUUAUAUUUCCUCCUCCUUAGUUUAGAUGCCUAUUUUCAUUGUAAUGAGAGAAUGGAAUCAUUAGUGUGAAUUUGGGUGGCUGUGUAAAUGGGGAGGAUAUGGAGGUGUGGGACGAUGGGAAACCAUAAUACAAAUAUAUUGU